CCUUUUUGAGCUGUUCACUCCAAUUUGACAGUGACAAGGCCAACCUCCUCACCAAGCUGCUGCAGUUUGAGGAUCAACUGCAGAGGAUGCCAUCAAACAACAAUUCUUCCUUAGUCUGGAAGGAGUGGAUCCACAAACUCGUGAUCCUCUUCUAUAUUUGCAUUAUAUGAUAUCCAGUUACAAAAAAAGGCCAGCCUGACUCAGGCAGGCCAUUUUCCCACAUGGUGGACAUGGAGUUCUGA
rnacentral:lncRNA from 1 species